AGAGAAUGGAGGGUUUGGCGUUUGUCUGCGGAUUUUCGGCAGUGAUUUUAUCAAGUAAUCAGACUUUAUUAGGGCAUAUUAUGAAGCCUACACCUCUAAAAAGUGGAAUGCCAAAUUUCGCUAUUGCGCAACUCCUCCGCGCACAUUCAACAUGGCGGCGGGUCAUUGGCAGAGGAUGGAGGUUUUGGCGUUCGUCCGCGGAUUUUCGAAUCGAGACGUAUAAAGAGUGCAAUGUCAAAAACAUCAUUAC